UCCGAGUUAACCCCGGCAGUCUCCCGCGAGUCCCCAACACCACUUGCUGGCAACACGGGAUAAGGGUUGCGCUCGUUGCGGGACUUAACCCAACAUCUCACGACACGAGCUGACGACAGCCAUGCAGCACCUGUGUAGGCUCCCCUUGCGGGGUCGUCCCGCUUUCACGGUUCUACUACCUACAUGUCAAGGCCAGGUAAGGUUCUUCGCGUUGCAUCGAGUUAAGCCACAUACUCCACCGCUUGUGCAGGCCCCCGUCAAUUUCUUUGAGUUUUAAUCUUGCGACCGUACUCCCCAGGCGGCACAUUUAACGCGUUAGCUACGCCACAAAAGGGGUCGAUUCCUCUUACAGCAAAUGUGCACCGUUUACAGCUAGGACUAC
rnacentral:misc_RNA from 1 species